rnacentral:tRNA from 1 species
GGAGAGGUGUCCGAGUGGUCGAAGGAGCACGCUUGGAAAGCGUGUAGGGGGUUAUAAGCUCCCUCGCGGGUUCGAAUCCCGCCCUCUCCG